GUAGGGAAUCUUGCGCAAUGGGCGAAAGCCUGACGCAGCCAUGCCGCGUGAAUGAUGAAGGUCUUAGGAUUGUAAAAUUCUUUCACCGGGGACGAUAAUGGCGGUACCCGGAGAAGAAGCCCCGGCUAACUUCGUGCCAGCAGCCGCGGUAAUACGAAGGGGGCUAGCGUUGCUCGGAAUUACUGGGCGUAAAGGGAGCGUAGGCGGAUAGUUUAGUCAGAGGUGAAAGCCCAGGGCUCAACCUUGGAAUUGCCUUUGAUACUGGCUAUCUUGAGUAUGGAAGAGGUAUGUGGAACUCCGAGUGUAGAGGUGAAAUUCGUAGAUAUUCGGAAGAACACCAGUGGCGAAGGCGACAUACUGGUCCAUUACUGACGCUGAGGCUCGAAAGCGUGGGGAGCAAACAGGAUUAGAAACCCGGUAGUCC
rnacentral:rRNA from 1 species